rnacentral:rRNA from 1 species
UACGUAGGGUGCGAGCGUUGUCCGGAAUCAUUGGGCGUAAAGCGCGUGUAGGCGGUCCGGUAAGUCCGCUGUGAAAGUCGGGGGCUCAACCCUCGGAUGCCGGUGGAUACUGUCGGGCUUGAGUACGGAAGAGGCGAGUGGAAUUCCUGGUGUAGCGGUGAAAUGCGCAGAUAUCAGGAGGAACACCAAUUGCGAAGGCAGCUCGCUGGGACGUUACUGACGCUGAGACGCGAAAGCGUGGGGAGCAAACAGG